ACUCAAAGGAAUUGACGGGGACCUGCACAAGCGGUGGAGCAUGUGGUUUAAUUCGACGAUAAGCGAGGAACCUUACCAAGAUUUGACAUGCAGCUGCAUACUCUGGAAACAGGGUAGCCUUCGAGGGUGCUGCACAGGUGAUGCACGGUAGUCGUCAGCUCGUGCCGUGAGGUGUUCACUUAAGUGUGAAAACGAGCGCAACCCUUAUCUUAUGUUACCAGUGUCAUAAGAGACUGCCGGCGUUUAAGCCGGAGGAAGGUGGGGAUGACGUCAUAUCAGCGUGUUCCUUACAUCUUGGGCGACACACGUGCUACAAUGGGGUGGAACAAAGGGACGCCAAGGAGCAAUCCGGAGCAAAUCCUUAAAAACACCCCCCAGUUCGGAUUGAGGGCUGCAACUCGCCCUCAUGAAGCCGGAAUCGCUAGUAACCGUAGAUCAGCCUCGCUACGGUGAAUACGUUCUCAGGUUUUGCACACACCGCCCGU
rnacentral:rRNA from 1 species